GUGGGGAAUUUUGGACAAUGGGGGCAACCCUGAUCCAGCCAUGCCGCGUGCGGGAAGAAGGCCUUCGGGUUGUAAACCGCUUUCGGACGGAAAGAAAUCGCAUGGGCUAAUACCCUGUGUGGAUGACGGUACCGUAAGAAGAAGCACCGGCUAACUACGUGCCAGCAGCCGCGGUAAUACGUAGGGUGCGAGCGUUAAUCGGAAUUACUGGGCGUAAAGCGUGCGCAGGCGGUUUCUUAAGCCAGACGUGAAAUCCCCGGGCUUAACCUGGGAACUGCGUUUGGAACUGGGAGACUAGAGUGUGUCAGAGGGAGGUGGAAUUCCGCGUGUAGCAGUGAAAUGCGUAGAGAUGCGGAGGAACACCGAUGGCGAAGGCAGCCUCCUGGGAUAACACUGACGCUCAUGCACGAAAGCGUGGGGAGCAAACAGGAUUAGAUACCCCAGUAGUCC
rnacentral:rRNA from 1 species